rnacentral:lncRNA from 1 species
GGAAUGGAGAGCCCAGGAAAAGAGACAUACUGUAUUUCAGACUCAUCAAGGAGUCAUUUUCCCAUCCAAAUAUCUCAUCAAGUAGCCAGCCUUUUUGUAGAUUCUUGCCAUCUGACUUUGUUUCAGUGGGUGACUUUCCAUUGGCCACGUUCAUGAGUCUUCACUCACCUAUCUAACCUAGGACCUGAGUCAAGUAAACUGGUUCCAUUAACAAA